rnacentral:rRNA from 1 species
UACGUAGGGUGCAAGCGUUGUCCGGAAUUAUUGGGCGUAAAGAGCUCGUAGGCGGCUUGUCGCGUCGUCCGUGAAAACCAGGGGCUCAACCCCUGGCUUGCGGUCGAUACGGGCAGGCUAGAGUUCGGUAGGGGAGACUGGAAUUCCUGGUGUAGCGGUGAAAUGCGCAGAUAUCAGGAGGAACACCGGUGGCGAAGGCGGUUCUCUGGGGAAUAUCCUGACGCUGAGGAGCGAAAGUGUGGGGAGCGAACAGG